UUGCACGUGGGUAGAGAUUCCUUAGCACAUCGAUCGACACUACUCAGCGCAGUAUAGCAUGAUACGAAAUGGAGGGCAGAGUUACUCCUUCUUGAACAUUUCUCUCGUAACUUUGGCCGUCUCGUCUUCGAUAGCUAGGCGUCCAUCUGUAUAGCUCAGCCUGUGCUCUGAUGCCUUGGGGUAGACGAGCGAUACAGAACUCGGACCAGCCGCAGGUUUCCCUGCAGCCAGUCCGGGUUGCCGCGGCCAGGACUCGAACCAGGGGCACCGGCUUGCCCGCUGGGACCUCUACCGGGUGCGCUAUCUGGGUCCCCCCGUUGAAACUACACUUCCAAUAAUUAAAACCCUUAGAAUCAACUACAGAAAUCGAAAAUAAAAUACGGCCCCGAGAUUCGAACCCGGGUCUCCAGAUCAGAAGUUCCGUGCCUUACCGCCAGGCCACCGGCACUUCUGAGAUUCGAAUUUUGAAUUUUAAAUAUAUAUAACAUGGAUUCGUACUUAGUAAUAAAUCAGAAAUUUGGAUAUCUGGCUGGGGAUUUGCACCCGUGAUCUGAUCAACGUUGCUAAUUUUUAUCAAACUUGUUAGUGCUGAAAUAUAUAUUUUUAAAAUAUUAUUAACGUUUAAAUAAACUUGCUUACGUGAUGCCUCAUGGCGAGUAGAAAACAACUUCCGAAGUCGUACGGUAUUGGUGAUGAUUUUGUUCUGCCCCACUGGCGAAGCCGAGGUACCGUUUCUGCCAUGUCCUUCAAGUUGUUGAUGCCCUCCGACUAACUCAAGAUCAACUCGGCACAUUUCUUCAGUCUUGGUAUAUAUUUUUGUCUUGGAAUACCCAGCAAGUAAUUUUACUACUCUAUAAUUUUGGACAUUUUACGUCAUUAUCAAGAUAGGGUAAAAUACUGGAAAUCUUGUCAAUGGGAUAUCUUACAAUAAUUUUGCGGUGCCAAAUACAGACCUAUUUAUGUAAAACAAAUUAUGUGUGACUGUCUUUAAAAAAAAAUAAUUAUCCUAAAACUGGGCUUCAGACCGGGUUGGUCUUGGGAUCAUCUAGAAGCCUUUUGAUGUCACUUUCUUUAGGUAAAGGUAAUUGUCAAUGGUAGGGGGAAAAUACCUCAAGAAAUACUUAAAUUAACUUCAAGUUUGAAACGAUCUCCAGUAUUUGACCAUUAUCAAAAUAACCUGAAUCAAGAUUUAUGACAAGACAUUUUAUGACCUAGGGGUCUGUCAUUGUGCAGGGUUGCAGAGACACGCCCUAUUGGCGAGUGUUUUUGUUUCAUUUUUUUUCUUCUCCUUUGCAGCCCUGCACUGUCCACGUUCUGUCUUUCGUGUGUAGUGUUUACUUGGUUUCUUAUUGUUUGUAUAUCCUUUUGUCUUAAUAUCAAAUUUUAUGUAUUUAUUGUAAUUGUGUGUUUAUAUGUCAAUUUGCCGGAUAAAAUAUUAUUAUUAUUAUUAUUAUUAUUAUUAUGUCUGAAAGUAACGAUGAUCCAUUUCCGAUAAAAAUCUGUUGUAAUACCAAAUAAAAACUGGGGAAAUAAAAAGUGGUACCAACUUGAGCGUAUAGAUGGCUGUGCAUUACGGUUUCGAUAUAAAUCCACAUAGUCGUCUCAUCGGACUGGUUUAAUUAUUAUUUUGAAAACUUUGAAACACUAUGUCUGGCUCCGAAAUUCUCUACUCCGAUGCACUUUACUUAAACAAAUAGUCCCAUCCUGGCUCAUUGCCUUAAAAAAGCAAAAUUCCAUCAUUUCUGCGGCUCUCUCAUCAGACCUCUGAAACUUGAGAGGAACAAAAUUAUGCGAAGGUCGUUAUGGUGUACAUUUCCAAGAAUCAAUGAAUAAAAGAUCGAUUCUAAAUUCACUUUCGUUAGUUCAAGUGUUCGGUAUCGAGUAAUUCACAAAAAAACUGAGAUGAGGUAUAUGAUACUGAAGACAACGUGUUUGAGAAUCGAAUUUCAAAACUGUUUACAAUUACAUUGAUCAUUGAAUUUUGUGACACUAAAGUGGUGUUGAUACAAAAAUAAUUGUGGCUGAAAUAAUCCACGGCAAAAUUACGUUUGUCGUCUUUGCAUAUGUUUCAUGUCUGACAUAUCGAAGAAUUUGUAAAAUUGACAAAGAUUGUAGCGGAACCCGCGGCUCUGCAAGAACGAUUUCGAUAAAUCAAGAUAUCACGUUACAUAAUUACAUUAGGCGUCAGAACAUACUCUUUCAGGUUUCCUUGAACAAAUCUCAUUAAAAUAGUCCCAUUCUGCCUCAUUAGAUGCCCGUACAUUCUUGAGACAUCACGCACACAAUGAAACCUCCAAAAGUCCGUUGCAUCUGAACCUAGACUGACAAUCCACCAACAAAACACCGUCUUCACUUCACCGAGGAACAGACAAUCUCCCCAAACCGCCAUGGGGCUCACACAGCCUCACGUCCCGCGUUGGUAGUGUCAAGACACGGUAGUAUUAAUUGGUUUUGAAGACGGCACAGUCCUUGCCUCGCUAAGUCGACCGCCUCCACAUCCACAACCACAAGGACCUCGCUCUACUCUCUUUUGUAAUUAGUUUGUCUGAAGGCACUGGGAUUUCUUUGAAGAUGUGUUUUUGCCGUCUCUGGCGCUGCUCUUUCCGCUGGCUAGGAAUAACAGGCUAAUUUUAAGAGUGUUUGGGGCGGUAAAAGUGAUGGGUUCAUCAGGUACUACAGUUGAGCAGGUGUUGGGAGGAAAUGUUGGGCCUUUGUCGGCUUAAGUGGAGAGGAUUUAGACGGUAAAGCUGUAGAUUUUCACAUUUUUUUCAACAGGUUUCCCCAACUCAAUGCGUUUAAACUUUACAAAGAUAUUGAGAAAAUACCAUUAGUUUUCAAGCUGGAAAAACAAGAAUGGAUAAACAUCAAAAUAACUUUUUUUCUACACACAUGCAGUGAUGCAGAUUACACCCAUUUAUAUUAAACCAGGAACCAUAAACAGUAACUUCCAAAUAUGACCUUUUGCUUUCAACACACUAUAACCAGCAGUUGUUCGGUGUCACGUUCACAAGUUACCCACAAAAUCGAACCAAUCUUGAGGCUUUGAGGUGCCGCUAGGCACUCAUCAUGACGGAUGGAUUUCGUUCUACUUCCGCGGUAAAUGUUCUUCAGUUAAUGUAAAACCAAACAUAGCAAUCAAACCCCCUCCCCCUCCGGAAUAGCACACAUCACCUAAUUUAUCACAAGAAAUAGAAUAUAAUACAGUCAAGGCGAGCAAGAAAACCAAUCUAUUUAUUUGCCUUAGGCUUAGCCAAGAAUUGUUAGGGAAUACAAAGGCAACAAAGUAAAGCAUAAAAACCCAAAUAUCAACGCCUACGGUGCUUGCAGGUGAAAACGGAAUGCAUCAUCAUGCUGAGGAAAAAACGAUUUUUGACGAUGUUUUUCAAAAUAAAAACGAAAAGCGCAAGGUCUCAAGAAAUUUGAUGUACUUAAGCGAACAUUUAAUGCAGAAAUGAUAACCUACAUGUUUGUGUAGCUGUUUGUUUUACUUCAGUGCCUAUUGUUUCUGUCAUCGUAACCUUAAUAGAAAACUUCAAGUCUGAACUCAGUUUUGUUUCUUGUAAAUAAACUCACAAAUUAUUUUUUUUCCAAUGAUGGGAUAUAAUUUUUACUGAACACAAAAAAUCAUAUAAACAAGUAAGUAUUUUUCAGACGAUCUUUGAAACAACCAUCAAAACAAUAAUGAAGGACAGGUAUUACCAAAACUUUUAGUGUUUUAAAGACUGGUAAACGAUUAAGUAAAAGGCAGAAGUUACAAAUCGCUUGAACACAAUAUCUGUUUUUAAA
rnacentral:lncRNA from 1 species